UGGGGAAUUUUGGACAAUGGGCGCAAGCCUGAUCCAGCCAUGCCGCGUGCGGGAAGAAGGCCUUCGGGUUGUAAACCGCUUUUGUCAGGGAAGAAAUCUUCUGAGUUAAUACCUCGGGAGGAUGACGGUACCUGAAGAAUAAGCACCGGCUAACUACGUGCCAGCAGCCGCGGUAAUACGUAGGGUGCAAGCGUUAAUCGGAAUUACUGGGCGUAAAGCGUGCGCAGGCGGUUUUGUAAGACAGAGGUGAAAUCCCCGGGCUCAACCUGGGAACUGCCUUUGUGACUGCAAGGCUUGAGUGCGGCAGAGGGGGAUGGAAUUCCGCGUGUAGCAGUGAAAUGCGUAGAUAUGCGGAGGAACACCGAUGGCGAAGGCAAUCCCCUGGGCCUGCACUGACGCUCAUGCACGAAAGCGUGGGGAGCAAACAGGAUUAGAUAGCCCUGGUAGUCCACGCCCUAAAACGAUGUCAACUGGUUGUUGGGAAGGUUCCUUCUCAGUAACGUAGCUAACGCGUGAAGUUGACCGCCUGGGGAGUACGGCCGCAAGGUUGAAA
rnacentral:rRNA from 1 species